UCCAGCAGCCAUUUCACUCUGCAACUCACAACUGGUCGCCCACCGAAGCUCAGCAGGUAUGAGCCUGGUCAGUACCUGGAUGGGAGACUCCUGGGAAAAACUAAGGUUGCUGCUGGAA
rnacentral:rRNA from 1 species